UAACCAUGCAGGUCGAGCGGGAUGAAGAGAGCUUGCUUUCUGAUUCAGCGGCGGACGGGUGAGUAAUGCCUAGGAAUCUGCCUGAUAGUGGGGGACAACGUUUCGAAAGGAACGCUAAUACCGCAUACGUCCUACGGGAGAAAGCAGGGGACCUUCGGGCCUUGCGCUAUCAGAUGAGCCUAGGUCGGAUUAGCUAGUUGGUGAGGUAACGGCUCACCAAGGCGACGAUCCGUAACUGGUCUGAGAGGAUGAUCAGUCACACUGGAACUGAGACACGGUCCAGACUCCUACGGGAGGCAGCAGUGGGGAAUAUUGGACAAUGGGCGAAAGCCUGAUCCAGCCAUGCCGCGUGUGUGAAGAAGGUCUUCGGAUUGUAAAGCACUUUAAGUUGGGAGGAAGGGCAUUAACCUAAUACGUUAGUGUUUUGACGUUACCGACAGAAUAAGCACCGGCUAACUUCGUGCCAGCAGCCGCGGUAAUACGAAGGGUGCAAGCGUUAAUCGGAAUUACUGGGCGUAAAGCGCGCGUAGGUGGUUUGUUAAGUUGAAUGUGAAAGCCCCGGGCUCAACCUGGGAACUGCAUCCAAAACUGGCAAGCUAGAGUAUGGCAGAGGGUGGUGGAAUUUCCUGUGUAGCGGUGAAAUGCGUAGAUAUAGGAAGGAACACCAGUGGCGAAGGCGACCACCUGGGCUAAUACUGACACUGAGGUGCGAAAGCGUGGGGAGCAAACAGGAUUAGAUACCCUGGUAGUCCCACGCCGUAAACGAUGUCGACUAGCCGUUGGGAUCCUUUGAGAUCUUAGUGGCGCAGCUAACGCAUUAAGUCGACCGCCUGGGGAGUACGGCCGCAAGGGUUUAAAACUCAAAAUGAAUUUGACGGGGGC
rnacentral:rRNA from 1 species